rnacentral:rRNA from 1 species
AUACGGAGGGUGCGAGCGUUACUCGGAGUCACUGGGCGUAAAGCGUCCGUAGGCGGUCGGGUAAGUCGGGUGUGAAAGCCCCGGGCUCAACCUGGGAAGUGCAUCCGAUACUGCUCGACUCGAGUGCGGGAGAGGAUGGCGGAAUUCCCGGUGUAGCGGUGAAAUGCGUAGAGAUCGGGAGGAACACCAGUGGCGAAGGCGGCCAUCUGGCCCGCAACUGACGCUGAGGGACGAAAGCGUGGGGAGCAAACAGGAUUAGAUACCCUAGUAGUCC